UGAUAAAGUGUGGCGCAUGCCACGCUUUUGAAAGAUGGUUUCGGCUAUCGCUUACAGAUGGGCCCGCGGUGCAUUAGCUAGUUGGUAGGGUAAUGGCCUACCAAGGCAACGAUGCAUAGCCGACCUGAGAGGGUGAUCGGCCACACUGGGACUGAGACACGGCCCAGACUCCUACGGGAGGCAGCAGUAGGGAAUCUUCCGCAAUGGACGAAAGUCUGACGGAGCAACGCCGCGUGUAUGAAGAAGGUUUUCGGAUCGUAAAGUACUGUUGUUAGAGAAGAACAAGGAUAAGAGUAACUGCUUGUCCC
rnacentral:rRNA from 1 species